CCUACGGGAGGCAGCAGUGGGGAAUAUUGGGCAAUGGAGGCAACUCUUACCCAGCAAUGCCGCGUGAAUGAAGAAGGUCUUCGGAUUGUAAAGUUCUUUAAUUGGGGACGAAAAAAAUGACGGUACCCAAGGAAUAAGCCCCGGCUAACUACGUGCCAGCAGCCGCGGUAGUACGUAGGGGGCAAGCGUUGUUCGGAAUGACUGGGCGUAAAGGGUGUGUAGGCGGUAUGUCAAGUCAAGGGUGAAAUCCCCGCGCACAACGUGGGAACUGCCUUUGAAACUGGCAAACUGGAGUGUGUGAGAGGAUAGUGGAAUUCCAGGUGUAGGAGUGAAAUCCGUAGAUAUCUGGAGGAACAUCAGUGGCGAAGGCGACUAUCUGGCACAUAACUGACGCUGAGGAGCGAAAGCGUGGGUAGCAAACAGGAUUAGAUACCCCUGUAGUC
rnacentral:rRNA from 1 species